rnacentral:rRNA from 1 species
UACGGAGGGUGCGAGCGUUGUUCGGAAUUACUGGGCGUAAAGCGCGUGUAGGCGGCUUCUUAAGUCUGGUGUGAAAGCCCGGGGCUCACCCCCGGAAGGGCAUUGGAUACUGGGAAGCUAGAGUACCGGAGAGGAAGGUGGAAUUCCUGGUGUAGCGGUGAAAUGCGUAGAUAUCAGGAGGAACACCGGUGGCGAAAGCGACCUUCUAUACGGAUAUUGACGCUGAGACGCGAAAGCGUGGGGAGCAAACAGG